UACGGAGGGUGCGAGCGUUGUCCGGAAUCACUGGGCGUAAAGGGCGCGUAGGCGGCCUGAUAAGUAGGGGGUGAAAUCCUGCGGCUUAACCGCAGGGCUGCCUUCUAAACUGUCAGGCUAGAGCACGGUAGAGGCAGAUGGAAUUCCCGGUGUAGCGGUGGAAUGCGUAGAGAUCGGGAAGAACAUCAGUGGCGAAGGCGGUCUGCUGGGCCGUUGCUGACGCUGAGGCACGAAGGUCAGGGGAGCAAACGGG
rnacentral:rRNA from 1 species